UGGGAAUUUUGGACGAAUUGGGGCAACCGUGAUCCAGCAAUGCCGCGUGUGUGAAGAAGGCCUUCGGGUUGUAAAGCACUUUUGUCCGGAAAGAAAACGCCGUGGUUAAUACCCGUGGCGGAUGACGGUACCGGAAGAAUAAGCACCGGCUAACUACGUGCCAGCAGCCGCGGUAAUACGUAGGGUGCAAGCGUUAAUCGGAAUUACUGGGCGUAAAGCGUGCGCAGGCGGUCCGCUAAGACAGAUGUGAAAUCCCCGGGCUUAACCUGGGAACUGCAUUUGUGACUGGCGGGCUAGAGUAUGGCAGAGGGGGGUUAGAAUUCCACGUGUAGCAGUGAAAUGCGUAGAGAUGUGGAGGAAUACCGAUGGCGAAGGCAGCCCCCUGGGCCAAUACUGACGCUCAUGCACGAAAGCGUGGGGGAGCAAACAGGAUUAGAUACCCUGGUAUCCACGCCCUAAACGAUGU
rnacentral:rRNA from 1 species